rnacentral:rRNA from 1 species
CGGCGAGUGAAGCGGCAAAAGCUCAAAUUUGAAAUCUGGUACCUUCGGUGCCCGAGUUGUAAUUUGGAGAGGGCAACUUUGGGGCCGUUCCUUGUCUAUGUUCCUUGGAACAGGACGUCAUAGAGGGUGAGAAUCCCGUGUGGCGAGGAGUGCGGUUCUUUGUAAAGUGCCUUCGAAGAGUCGAGUUGUUUGGGAAUGCAGCUCUAAGUGGGUGGUAAAUUCCAUCUAAAGCUAAAUAUUGGCGAGAGACCGAUAGCGAACAAGUACAGUGAUGGAAAGAUGAAAAGAACUUUGAAAAGAGAGUGAAAAAGUACGUGAAAUUGUUGAAAGGGAAGGGCAUUUGAUCAGACAUGGUGUUUUGUGCCCUCUGCUCCUUGUGGGUAGGGGAAUCUCGCAUUUCACUGGGCCAGCAUCAGUUUUGGUGGCAGGAUAAAUCCAUAGGAAUGUAGCUUGCCUCGGUAAGUAUUAUAGCCUGUGGGAAUACUGCCAGCUGGGACUGAGGACUGCGACGUAAGUCAAGGAUGCUGGCAUAAUGGUUAUAUGCCGCCC